CUACAGGCUUAACACAUGCAAGUCGAGGGGCAGCAGGAUCUAGCAAUAGAUUGCUGGCGACCGGCGCACGGGUGAGUAACACGUAUCCAACCUGCCGAUAACUCGGGGAUAGCCUUUCGAAAGAAAGAUUAAUACCCGAUAGUAUAAUCAGACCGCAUGGUUUGAUUAUUAAAGAAUUUCGGUUAUCGAUGGGGAUGCGUUCCAUUAGGCAGUUGGUGAGGUAACGGCUCACCAAACCUUCGAUGGAUAGGGGUUCUGAGAGGAAGGUCCCCCACAUUGGAACUGAGACACGGUCCAAACUCCUACGGGAGGCAGCAGUGAGGAAUAUUGGUCAAUGGACGCGAGUCUGAACCAGCCAAGUAGCGUGAAGGAUGACUGCCCUAUGGGUUGUAAACUUCUUUUAUAUGGGAAUAAAGUUUUCCACGUGUGGAAUUUUGUAUGUACCAUAUGAAUAAGGAUCGGCUAACUCCGUGCCAGCAGCCGCGGUAAUACGGAGGAUCCGAGCGUUAUCCGGAUUUAUUGGGUUUAAAGGGAGCGUAGGUGGACAGUUAAGUCAGUUGUGAAAGUUUGCGGCUCAACCGUAAAAUUGCAGUUGAUACUGGCUGUCUUGAGUACAGUAGAGGUGGGCGGAAUUCGUGGUGUAGCGGUGAAAUGCUUAGAUAUCACGAAGAACUCCGAUUGCGAAGGCAGCUCACUGGACUGCAACUGACACUGAUGCUCGAAAGUGUGGGUAUCAAACAGGAUUAGAUACCCUGGUAGUCCACACAGUAAACGAUGAAUACUCGCUGUUUGCGAUAUACAGUAAGCGGCCAAGCGAAAGCAUUAAGUAUUCCACCUGGGGAGUACGCCGGCAACGGUGAAACUCAAAGGAAUUGACGGGGGCCCGCACAAGCGGAGGAACAUGUGGUUUAAUUCGAUGAUACGCGAGGAACCUUACCCGGGCUUAAAUUGCAUUUGAAUAUAUUGGAAACAGUAUAGCCGUAAGGCAAAUGUGAAGGUGCUGCAUGGUUGUCGUCAGCUCGUGCCGUGAGGUGUCGGCUUAAGUGCCAUAACGAGCGCAACCCUUAUCUUUAGUUACUAACAGGUCAUGCUGAGGACUCUAGAGAGACUGCCGUCGUAAGAUGUGAGGAAGGUGGGGAUGACGUCAAAUCAGCACGGCCCUUACGUCCGGGGCUACACACGUGUUACAAUGGGGGGUACAGAAGGCAGCUACCUGGUGACAGGAUGCUAAUCCCAAAAGCCUCUCUCAGUUCGGAUCGAAGUCUGCAACCCGACUUCGUGAAGCUGGAUUCGCUAGUAAUCGCGCAUCAGCCAUGGCGCGGUGAAUACGUUCCCGGGCCUUGUACACACCGCCCGUCAAGCCAUGAAAGCCGGGGGUACCUGAAGUACGUAACCGCAAGGAGCGUCCUAGGGUAAAACUGGUAAUUGGGG
rnacentral:rRNA from 1 species